CGCAUCAUGCUGCCGAUGAAAGAUUGCUUCCCUUCCUUCAUUCUCUUCCUUAAGAGACUAUGAAGCAGGGAUGCUGCUGUUAUCAACCACCACGGCACUGAUGUCUGUGUUACAUUGGUUGGACGACCACAACGGCAAGCUGCUGCUGCUGCUGGGAGCCCCGACCAAACCCCUUCUGAGCCCCCCUCCCCUUCUGUUGACCAAUCCCCCUCUCCUUCCCAGUCCCCUUCUCAGCCCCCCUCCCCUUCUGUCGCCCAAUCCCCUUCUCCUUCCCAGUCCCCUUCUCAGCCCCCCUCCCCUUCUGUCGCCCAAUCCCUCUCUUCUUCCGAGUCCCCUUCUCAGCCCCCCUCCCCUUCAGUCGCCCAAUCCCCCUCUCCUUCCCAGUCCCCUUCUCAGCCCCCCUCCCCCUCUCUUUACCAAUACCCAUCUCUGUCCCCCUCCCCCUCUGAAGGCGGCCAAACAACCACUCCGGCCACCUCCCCCUCUCUUUCCCAGACCCCCUCUCUGGCCCCCUCCCCCUCUGUUGCCCAAACACCCUCUCCACCCCUUUCCCCCUCUCAAUCAGACCCAACCUCUGAAAGCAGGUCCCCAAUCCCUCCUCCUUCCCCAAUCCCUCCUCCUUCCCCAAUCCAGCCUCCUACCCCCAUCAAGCCUCCUUCCCCCAUCCAGCCGCCUUCCCCCAUCCAGCCGCCUUCCCCACCCAGUGAAUGGGCAGAAGAAGCCCCUGCGGAGAUUCCGAGGAGUCCGCAUGUGGCAGAUGAGAAUGUUGCAGUUGGAGAUCCCACAACUUUUGUGGGCAUUCUGGCCACCAUGCGCCAACACCUGCAUGGCUUACUGAGGAGUAUUGACCAGCUCCAAAAAUUUGCCUGAUUUUUUUUUGUAAACAUUUUAUUUUUCUGUUUAAAAAAAAAAAAAAUAUUGACAAACAAUAAAACCAAGAUAUUUCAAGUUAA